rnacentral:rRNA from 1 species
AACGAACGCUGGCGGCAGGCUUAACACAUGCAAGUCGAACGCACCGCAAGGUGAGUGGCAGACGGGUGAGUAACACGUGGGAACGUACCCCUUGUUCGGAAUAACCCUGGGAAACUAGGGCUAAUACCGGAUACGGCCGGAAGGCGAAAGGUUUACCGCAGAGGGAUCGGCCCGCGUCCGAUUAGCUUGUUGGUGAGGUAAUGGCUCACCAAGGCAUCGAUCGGUAGCUGGUCUGAGAGGANGAUCAGCCACAAUGGGACUGAGACACGGCCCAUACUCCUACGGGAGGCAGCAGUGGGGAAUUUUACGCAAUGGGCGAAAGCCUGACGUAGCGACACCGCGUGAACGAAGAAGCCUCUUGGGGUGUAAAGUUCUGUCAGCUGGAACGAAAAAAUAGACGGUACCAGCAGAGGAAGCAUCGGCUAACUACGUGCCAGCCGCCGCAGUAAC